GACGAACGCUGGCGGCGUGCUUAACACAUGCAAGUCGAACGGAAAGGCCCUGCUUUUGUGGUGUGCUCGAGUGGCGAACGGGUGAGUAACACGUGAGUAACCUGCCCUUGACUUUGGGAUAACUUUAGGAAACUGGGGCUAAUACCGGAUAGGAGCUCCUGCUGCAUGGUGGGGGUUGGAAAGUUUCGUCGGUUGGGGAUGGACUCGCGGCUUAUCAGCUUGUUGGUGGGGUAGUGGCUUACCAAGGCUUUGACGGGUAGCUGGCCUGAGAGGGUGACCAGACACAUUGGGACUGAGGUUCAGGCCAGACUCCUACGGGGGGCAGCAGUGGGGCAUAUUGCGCAAUGGGCGGAAGCCUGAUGCAACAACGCCGCGUGCGGGAUGACGGCCUUCGGGUUGUAAACCGCUUUCGCCUGGGACGUAGCGUGAGUGACGGUAAUGGGUAAAAAAGCACCGGCUAACUACGUG
rnacentral:rRNA from 1 species